CUUCGGGCUAGAAAGCGAAGGUUGGGUAAAAUGUGAAUCCAACUGGUUGAUUUAUAAUAAUUCAGGAAGCAGAUUCUAAUAGUCCCAAAAUUCAAUUAAAUUAGCCGUGAAAUCUAGAAAUAUUUCUUUUGUGUUUGUAGUUAUAUUUUAGUUUGAAUCUUUUUUUUUUUUUUUUUAGGAAUUUAGAGAAGCCUAAAAAUAAAGGAUCAGGAGGUGCACCCGGACAUCUCAACUAGGUUGACACCCCUUAGCACCAUCAUCAUAUCCCAUAGAAUUAUACAGUGAGAAUAAUAGAGAAGCCUAAAAAUAGAGGAUCAAGAGGCACACCCAGACAUCACAACUAGGUUGACACCCCCUUAGCACCAUCAUCAUAUCCCAUAGAAACAAACGGAGAACAUAUAGGUACCAAAUAAACUAGAAGGCAGCCUUUUUAGUAUUUUUAAAACACAAUUUGAAGUAAAUACUCUAUAAAUAGAGGGUUAAUCUAUUGUAUUGGACACUUUAAAAUCAUAAUAAAGAUUGAAGGAAUCCCUCAAUUGUCUCCAAGUAAAAGUUAUCCAAAACAUUCGGACUCAGGGGGAAUUCCUUCAAUCAUCC
rnacentral:lncRNA from 1 species